CCGCCAGGUCCCACAAUUUAGGUCAAUAUAGAAGUAGAACAGCAAUUCUGCCAUAGAUAAUGCUUAUUGUAUAUACAUGCUUACAUACAGUUGUAAUCAAACUGAUUCAACCCACAUUGAAAAUCAGGUUUAUUAUCAGACUUUACAGACUUUCAGCUGUUGCAAUGAACAAAUUAAAUAAAAGCUAUUGAAAUACCCAAAGGCAAUGAUUAUACUCACCAGAACAACUACAUUAAGCUAUAGUUGUUCUGGUGACUAUAGUGUCAGUUUAAUUUAAAUGCUCUAAAUAGUUUUAACCAGUGAUAGAUUUACUACAAACAAGGAACAAACACAUAGGAUUUAAGAACUGAAAAUGUGUUAUUUAUUAGAUCACAUUGCUGAAAGGGCAAGUUAAAAAUGCAUUAUCAGUGGUUCUAUUCAUAUGCUACUUUGAUGCAGCCUCCAGCUUCACCACUGAUGAUUUCAGCAUCCAAAUUAACAUCACAUGUGAUCUCCUCCAAUUCACUGUUUUUCGUUUUGCAAAAAGUGCAGAUUUCAAUAGAAAUUACACCCCAGGCUGUCAGUCAGACAACUGGUUCUG